AGAAAACGACACCUCCGUUUUCCUCUUCUCUUUGCGUCGCCAAAAAAAAGUUUUUUUUCGACGAAAGCUCGAUCAUUCAUCUAACCGGCAUCAAAUCUCCAUCUGUAAUACGUGAAGCCAUUGUUUCCGGCGAUAGCCUGUUAGAACCCGGCGGUGGUGUCUUUUGCUUGACUUCCAACUCACCUUUAAAUAAAUUCUUGGAAACGUUACGAGAAUCAGUUCAUCCAAUCAUCGUCUUUAACGCCCUCAUCAACAACAUCUCCCACUCUUCACACGAUCCAUCAUUCAAUGUAUCCCCAUUAUUGCUAUUGUGUGAAUCACCACUAUAAAUAGACUUGAGGGAUGGCCAUUGGACCACCACAGUGGAGGUCCGCCUAUUUUGGGAGGCUAGGUACGUGAAGCGAGGAUUGAGCUUAUGUGUAUAGACAUGCUCAUCCUAACGCAAAGUAUGGUUGUUGUAUUUCCACCGUCGAGGUCCGCCUCCUAAGGUUCAGGAAUGUGAAUGCUCCUCCUCGACGCAAAGGUAACUCCAGCAUUAAAAUCUUUAAAUAUUCGAGAGAUGAUUAUUGUGUGGUUUGUUGAUUCUGUUUCACUUUGUUCAGGAAUUGAUUAUUAAAUUUUUUUAUCCAAAUAUUUUUGUAAGACCAUUUGUUCAGGUCUUGAUUAUCUUUUUUUUUUCCCCAGUAGCUUUUGUUUGUUUAUUUCCCCAGUAGCUUUCGUUUAGCUCAUUCUAACUCCUUUAUCUCCUACUUUUCUCCGCCGUGAAAUGGGAAACCGUCAGGCGGUGGAGACUGCAACAGCGGUGUUAGAACGACCAGACAGCAAGUCGGAUAGAUUUUACUGUACAGUGAUCGUUAAGUUAAUAAUUGUUAACACUAAAAUGAACGUCCAGUACUAUGUGUACUAAUACACCCACUUGCUUAUAAUACCAACAUAAUGACAUU